rnacentral:rRNA from 1 species
UACGUAGGUGGCAAGCGUUGUCCGGAUUUAUUGGGUUUAAAGGGUGCGUAGGCGGCCCUGUAAGUCAGUGCUGAAAUAUCCCGGCUUAACCGGGAGGGUGGCAUUGAUACUGCAGGGCUUGAGUACAGAUGAAGUAGGCGGAAUUGACGGUGUAGCGGUGAAAUGCGCAGAUAUCGGGAGGAACACCAAUGGCGAAGGCAGCUCGCUGGGACGUUACUGACGCUGAGACGCGAAAGCGUGGGGAGCAAACAGG